UUAGUACUCCCUCCGUCCGAAAAUACUCGUCAUCAAAAUGGACAAAAAGGAUGUAUCUAGAUGACGAGUAUUUCUGAACGGAGGGAGUACUCU
rnacentral:pre_miRNA from 1 species